UACGUAGGCAGCGAGCGUUGUUCGGAUUUACUGGGCGUAAAGGGUGUGUAGGCGGUUGUUUAAGUUUGGUGUGAAAUCUCCCGGCUCAACUGGGAGGGUGCGCCGAAUACUGAAUGACUUGGAGUGCGGGAGAGGAAAGUGGAAUUCCUGGUGUAGCGGUGAAAUGCGUAGAUAUCAGGAGGAACACCGGUGGUGUAGACGGCUUACUGGACCACGACUGACGCUGAGGCACGAAAGCGUGGGUAGCAAACAGG
rnacentral:rRNA from 1 species